rnacentral:rRNA from 1 species
GAUGAACGCUAGCUACAGGCUUAACACAUGCAAGUCGAGGGGCAGCAUGAGCUUAGCUUGCUAAGUUUGAUGGCGACCGGCGCACGGGUGAGUAACACGUAUCCAACCUGCCGAUGACUCGGGGAUAGCCUUUCGAAAGAAAGAUUAAUACCCGAUGGCAUAGUUCUUCCGCAUGGUAGAACUAUUAAAGAAUUUCGGUCAUCGAUGGGGAUGCGUUCCAUUAGGUUGUUGGCGGGGUAACGGCCCACCAAGCCUUCGAUGGAUAGGGGUUCUGAGAGGAAGGUCCCCCACAUUGGAACUGAGACACGGUCCAAACUCCUACGGGAGGCAGCAGUGAGGAAUAUUGGUCAAUGGACGAGAGUCUGAACCAGCCAAGUAGCGUGAAGGAUGACUGCCCUAUGGGUUGUAAACUUCUUUUAUACGGGAAUAAAGGAGGCACGUGUGCCUUUUUGUAUGUACCGUAUGAAUAAGGAUCGGCUAACUCCGUGCCAGCAGCCGCGGUAAUACGGAGGAUCCGAGCGUUAUCCGGAUUUAUUGGGUUUAAAGGGAGCGUAGGCGGACGCUUAAGUCAGUUGUGAAAGUUUGCGGCUCAACCGUAAAAUUGCAGUUGAUACUGGGUGUCUUGAGUACAGUAGAGGCAGGCGGAAUUCGUGGUGUAGCGGUGAAAUGCUUAGAUAUCACGAAGAACUCCGAUUGCGAAGGCAGCCUGCUGGACUGUAACUGACGCUGAUGCUCGAAAGUGUGGGUAUCAAACAGGAUUAGAUACCCUGGUAGUCCACACAGUAAACGAUGAAUACUCGCUGUUUGCGAUAUACAGUAAGCGGCCAAGCGAAAGCGUUAAGUAUUCCACCUGGGGAGUACGCCGGCAACGGCGAAACUCAAAGGAAUUGACGGGGGCCCGCACAAGCGGAGGAACAUGUGGUUUAAUUCGAUGAUACGCGAGGAACCUUACCCGGGCUUGAAUUGCAACUGAAUGAUGUGGAGACAUUCAGCCGCAAGGCAGUUGUGAAGGUGCUGCAUGGUUGUCGUCAGCUCGUGCCGUGAGGUGUCGGCUUAAGUGCCAUAACGAGCGCAACCCUUAUCGAUAGUUACCAUCAGGUGAUGCUGGGGACUCUGUCGAGACUGCCGUCGUAAGAUGUGAGGAAGGUGGGGAUGACGUCAAAUCAGCACGGCCCUUACGUCCGGGGCUACACACGUGUUACAAUGGGGGGUACAGAAGGCAGCUACACGGCGACGUGAUGCUAAUCCCGAAAGCCUCUCUCAGUUCGGAUUGGAGUCUGCAACCCGACUCCAUGAAGCUGGAUUCGCUAGUAAUCGCGCAUCAGCCACGGCGCGGUGAAUACGUUCCCGGGCCUUGUACACACCGCCCGUCAAGCCAUGAAAGCCGGGGGUACCUGAAGUGCGUAACCGCAAGGAGCGCCCUAGGGUAAAACUGGUGAUUGGGGCUAAGUCGUAACAAGGUAGCCGUACCGGAAGG